AUUUAAAGGGGGGCUUAUAUAAUAGGCUGAGAUAGGAAUGUUAUUCCUGACCCUAAGAACCUGAUUUGGGUAAUUCCAGCGGAGGGACUUGUUUUUUUAU
rnacentral:ncRNA from 1 species